GCUCGGCACGCCCCGAUGCAACGGAAAACACCUCGCCGAGGCAGCGACCUGGCAAUCCGCCCCUGUUUGCACUAGGAAAACACCUUCUUUCUAAAAGGGAAGAGAGAGAAAAGGUCCCACGUGGAAGUAGGGAGCGGGUUUCUUUUUGAGGGCGGCGGCAGCAGCAGCAGCAGCAGCAGCAGCAGGGCUGUGCCCGCCCCCUCGAGGGCGGAGCUGCGGGCCGGUGUCAAAGGCGGCGGGGCGGGGCGGGGCUGGGCGCGGAGGGUGCCCGGCGGGAAGAAGCGGCGGCGGCGGAGCUGGGGGGCCCCUGGACGGAGUGGGGGGCCAUGGGGCCGCUGCAGCUGCUCUCCUGCGCCUGCGUGGCCUUCACGCUGGGCAUGUUCGGGACCGGCCUGUCUGACCUGCAACGGAUGUAUACAGCCAGGAGUGUGGAGAAUAUCCAGUUCCUUCCAUUCCUCACCACCGACAUCAACAACCUCAGCUGGCUGAGCUACGGUUUCCUGAAAGGCGACUGGACGCUGAUCAUAGUCAAUGCCAUCGGCGCGACCCUUCAGACCCUCUAUGUCCUUGUCUAUUUCUACUUCAGCCCUGAGAAGCGUUCCGUCUUGCUGAAGACCUUGGCCUUGCUGGCAGUGCUGCUUCUCGGCUAUUGCUACUUCAACAUGCUGGUACAGGAUGUGACCCUGCGGCUCGCCCGUCUGGGCCUUUUCUGCAGCCUCUUCACCAUCAGCAUGUACCUCUCCCCGCUGGCGGACCUGGUAGGUGACGACCUCGCUCUGGUUUUCAGGAGGAUGGAUUCUAAUCAAGGCCAAGAUCGUGAAGACGCAGUCCACGCAAUGCCUUUCCUUUCCUCUGACCGUUACAACCUUCUUGGCUUCAGCCAGUUGGACGCUGUAUGGGCUUCUGCUUCAAGACCUCUAUAUCGCGGUCCCCAACGUGCCAGGCAUCGCCACCAGCAUGGUCCGGUUCUGGCUUUUCUGGCGCUUCCCAGACCACGACAGAGCCUACAAGCUGCUGCAGGCCUGAGGCCCCGGGGAUGGCCGUCGACCGCCCUCGAGACUGCCUGAGAGACGGGAGGGGCGUCGAGGCUCAGUGGCGUGGGCGGGCGCGCUUCCGUGCACAUGCACCGCUCGGCCGGUGCUUCUUCCAUCUUCCCCCAUCAGCGAAAACUGGUUGCCGGAUCAGAACCGAGAUCUGUUGAAGUCUAACGUUCGGUUUCCAAAAAAGCAGAUGCUUGUGACGCUUUCGACACAAACCACGAAUACCUCAGAUCACAAGCAGAGAGUGGAGGUUUUCCUGUAGGAAGCUACUGAUAUCCUAGCAUCUGUUAGCAGGUAACCAAAAAGUCCUCAGAGCAGUACAUAGCCAGGAAAUGCUUCCCUGUCCCAAAGGCUCACUUGGUCUAAUUAAUAAUCAUUAAUUAAUAACUGCAGGGGUUUAUAUUGUCUACCCAACUUUCCAGGUGACUUGAAAGUAUUCCCGUUUCCCCCCAAAGCUUGUGCCAUGUGAUUUGUUAAAUACUGCAGUUAUCCCAAGCGGGAUGUAGAUACUACUACGAAUAUUUAUAUGCCACUCUUCAACCAAAGAUCCCAAAGCGGUUUACAUAGAAAAAGACAUCAUACAGAAAUAAGAUGGUCCCCUGUCCCCAAAGGGCUCGAAAUCUAAAAAAGAAACAUCCCUCCACUGGAGGGAUGCUGGGUCGGAUAGGGCCAGUUGCUCUCCCCCUGCUAAAUGUAAGAGAAUCACCACUUAAAAAGGUGUCUCUUUGUGCAGUUAGCAGGGUUCAAAUGGAGAUAGUUCUGAUGUCUUUUUCUGAUGUUUUUAUGCUUGUGUUUUAAUGAAUUUAUUUUUUAAAAUCAGAUUUGUUUUUAUAUUUUUUAGCUCAAUAUUUUAAUGUGUCUCUUUUAUAAUCUUGUUUUUAAAUUUUAUUGUGAGCCGCCUUGGGGUUUUCUUAAUGAAAGGCAAGGUAUAAAUUUAACAAAAAACAAAUAAACAAUAAAUAAAUAAAUAAAUAAAUAAAGGUCAGGGUAGAGGUCGAUCUGAUUCCAAUGGGGUACCAUCCUCCAGGAAGUUCUGUGUAAGCUCCCCUCCAAGCGAACGGGAGCUGUGUGCGAGUAUUGCGUUAAUUAAUCAACUGGGGAGAACCGCAGAGCCAAGUCCCUGUGGUGAGUGAAGUUGGAACACUGGGGUGCCUCUGAGCGUGUGCAGAGUGCACUUGUCGAAAGCCACACUCCUGGGAUUGAGCCCUGCCUCCUAUUUUUAAAUGAAAUAAAUCAAAUAUACUGAACUUGAGGGAAAUGACGGCCGCAUCCUCUGCUCGUCGAAGCCACCUCCACUCCGGAAGCUGCUCAUUAGUUUGCUCCUGUUAAUUACCCAGCGCCUCACCUUGCCACAUCAACAGCACAAGUGUUAAUUAAAAAAUCUAGAAAAUCCUGGCCGUGGAACAAGAGAAACCUGGCACAGCUGCCUGGAGGAUGAGGCAGGUCCGGGGCUGUGGCGAAGGCUUGGCUGACAGAUGGGCAUGCCAUUCCAAAUGAUCAAAGUGUAAGGAACGACAUUCCACAAAACAAGAAAGGUAACAAGUGAGAUGAUGCUUUUUUUUGGUUGUUUGGGCCAACUGGCAUUUCAAGUCGCGCGGCAAGUUUUCGAGUCACACAGGACUCUUCCGCUGGUUGGAUGCACCAAAAAAGAAUAGUUGGAUAUUAUUUGCUUGAGUAUCAAGCUUAAGGAAGAGUCAUAGGGACAUAAGUAAGCCAUGCUUGAUCAGACCCAAGGUCCCUCUAGCCUAGCAUCCUGUUUGCUUCUCUCUGUGACCUUUGCCAGUUAUUGUCAUGUCUUGUGGCAGCGAGUCUUUAGGUUGGGUCCAGAAGUGCCUCCUCUUGUCUGUCCUGAAUCUACUCCCCAUCAGUUACAUGAACUUGUGUGACUCCAAAACAUGCAGCUGGCGUUGACUUGUGUGACUCUGAAGACUGCAACCUGCAUAGAGUUGUGGAACUUCAAAGACCUGCAUUUUAAAUGCUAAGGAAGGUAUUAUCUCAUUUGAUCUGCUCUUCUUGGCCUGGGAGGACAUAAUUUACAAGAGCUAGCUUGCUCUUGUGAUAUCCUUCACCUGUGGGCACCUCUGGCUCCAAACAGUAGGAUGCCUUUGGAGCAAGUAUCACCCUGGAAAAGGUCCAGGCACUGGGCCAUUUCUUUCAGAUCCAGUUACGAGCUAGCAGCAGGAAAUCCAAACCGGAAAUUAUUCCAGAGCCACCCUUCCCUAAAGGCACAUGGGAACCGCUGUGCCUACAUCUGUGCCAGGGAUCAGGCCUGGAAUUUAUUUCACGCCUGCAUACAAUCCUAGAAUGUGAGAAAUCACGGGGGAGAGUGUUUCUGAGCAUACUCAGAGUGCCUGUUCCCUCGCCCUUGACUCAUCCCAGCCAGUUCUUUCACAUCCAGGUCAGAAAGCACCUAAGUUCUGUUUCUGAAUUCAAAAUUUGAUGCCAAAUUGAAUGAGAUUUGCAAUUUGUACUGGUGUUUUUUGUGUAUACAUGUAUUACACCUUCCUCCCAAGAGCUCAGGAUAAUGUGUGCAUGCCUACUUAUGUAGCAAUCUUUGCCCACACAUGCACCAGGCUUUACCAACAGGGCCCUUUGUUUUAAAUAUGCAUAGUUUCUCUCUUCUCCAGAGUCUGCACAAUGGAUCUGCUUUGCACAGUGUUUGCUAAGUUACCUUGAAGCUCCUAGACACAGAAUUUAACUAUUGCCCAACAAAGUUACCUGUAUCUAAGACAGGCACACCUUUUGGUUGCACAGAAAUUCGGUGUGUGGGGGAGCAAAUCCUCCCUGCUCCUGAAAUUCAAACCUCUCCCUCAAGAAAAAAAGAAUGGAUUGGUAAUUUCAGGAGCAAGCAAUACUGUCAAGAAGUUACCAGUUUAUCCAAGCUCUAUUCGAAUGAGGCCUGGCUGUAUUUUGGCAAUCCAUGAAAAGGGUAUGCAGCAUGCAUGCAGUAUUCUGGAACGGUCCAGUUAUUUGUGUUUUUAAAUAAAAUCUAUUUCAAGCUU